rnacentral:rRNA from 1 species
AAUACACCGGAAGAUUUAGUGGCGAACGGGUGAGGAUCACGUGAGAAACGUGCCCCAGACUCUGGGAUAACAAUUGGAAACGAUUGCUAAUACCGGAUGACGUCGGAGAAUCGCAUGAUUCACUGACGAAAGAUAUUUCGGUUUGGGAGCGUCUCGCGGCCUAUCAGCUUGCUCGGUGGGGUAAUGGCCUACCAAGGCAACGACGGGUAGCUGGUCUGAGAGGAUGAUCAGCCACACUGGGACUGAGACACGGCCCAGACUCCUACGGGAGGCAGCAGUGGGGAAUCUUGCGCAAUGGGCGAAAGCCUGACGCAGCAACGCCGCGUGCGGGAUGAAGGCCUUCGGGCUGUAAACCGCUUUCAGCAGGAACGAAAAUGACGGUACCUGCAGAAGAAGGAGCGGCCAACUACGUGCCAGCAGCCGCGGUGACACGUAGGCUCCAAGCGUUGUCCGGAUUUAUUGGGCGUAAAGAGCUCGUAGGCGGUUGAGUAAGUCGGGUGUGAAAACUCUGGGCUUAACCCGGAGACGCCAUCCGAUACUGCUCUGACUAGAGUUCAGGAGGGGAGUGGGGAAUUCCUAGUGUAGCGGUGGAAUGCGCAGAUAUUAGGAGGAACACCGGUGGCGAAGGCGCCACUCUGGACUGAAACUGACGCUGAGGAGCGAAAGCAUGGGUAGCAAACAGGAUUAGAUACCCUGGUAGUCCAUGCCGUAAACGGUGGGCACUAGGUGUGGGUUCCAACUAACGGGAUCCGCGCCGUCGCUAACGCAUUAAGUGCCCCGCCUGGGGAGUACGGUCGCAAGACUAAA